GGGGAUUUAGCUCAGCGGCAGAGCGCUUGCCUAGCACGUAAAAGGCCCUGAGUUCGGUCCUCAGCUCUG
rnacentral:tRNA from 1 species